NNGGGGGUAGCCCCGGGAGCCCAGGCGGGACGCCCUCUGGGCGCGGGCUCGCUGAUAAACCUUCAGUCUGGUUCAUCACUCGUGUCACAGGCCUAGUGACGUGCGUUCUAUUAUUAGCGUCACUUAGAGGUGAGGAAACAGGCUCCCCAAACUACCCGGUUACGUGCUUUCAGUCAAAUAGAAGGCAGAGCUGCGAAGUAAAUGCAGGUUUGUCUUGACAUAGCUUUGUCCCACUUCUCUCGGAUCAGCCUCUCCCGGCUUUCAAUCCAGCAAGCAGCCAAUAGCGCUCCCAGGGACAUCUGGGAACUCACUCACCCUUCUAACACUGGAGAGGGGACGCAGUCAUUUUAGGUCAGUACCCUCUCUGGCAGAUGAAAGAUUUAAUCCACUCAACGGGAAAAUCACUUACCCCUACCUUCAUCUAAUUAGUGACAGACGGCGAGCUAGGGGCCCUCUCUCUUGGAAGCGUGCAAGGGCUCUUGACACCUCACCUUCCUUUUCCUCCCAGAACCUUCAGAACGCUCUGAGGCCAGAACGUGACUUCCUCGGAGACCUGAGGACAGUGAUGUGGGCGGGGACCUCCGGGAAGGAGGAGGAAGUCAAGUCACCGGGUUCGCAGCUGUCCUGUCUGCCACCCGCUAGAAAGGGACCUAGCACCUCAGGCCUAGAACCAGCUCUACAGGCCUGGGCCUCUUUGCUGGCUGGGACUGGGCCCUUUUAGAAGAGCUGCAGCCCAGUGAAAGAUAAAGUUGUGUGUGUGUGUGUGUGUGUGUGUGUGUGUGUGUGUGUGUGUGUCUGGAGCCGGGGUUGGGGGUGUGUGGGGGGGGUUCUGACUGUGGAAUGUCCACAUUCAGUAUAUUAGGGUAGGAAGGAAUAUGCUGUUGGCUUUCACAUUUUCUCCUGGAUGGGACAGAGUCCUUCCAUGGCAAAUGAUUUCAGCGUCAGCACAGAAUUUUGAGAGGAGUUUAUCUUGAAAAGUGAAGCAUGCCAAUGCAAGUUUUCUAACAUUGCCAAAUCUUGGGAACUGUUUGGGAUUUAAAAUCACGGAGCACUGGAGGAGCUGUUUCCCCCUUCUAUGCCUCUAUUUUGUGAAAUGAGGCUAAAAUACCCAGACAGCCCUUUUUACCCUGGAAUUCUGGGACUAUGAAUGGCAUCUGAGAAGAGUUCCCUCCAAAGGGAAGUUGGACCACAGAAGGACAGGACUCUCUCCUUUGUAAACAAGGUCCUCCUUUUUUAAAUCACAAAAGUAAUUACUACUCAUUGUACACAAGUUAUAUUUUCCUCCCCGCCAGAACCAGAAAGAAGGUAAAACAAUUGAAAUCCCACACCCAGGAAACCAUUGUUAGCAAUUCAAUGUAGAGCAUUGAAUAAAUGCAGGCCGAAUACACUGCUUUUCCCCUUGAACAGCCUUUUUUCCUUGAAUGAAAUAUCAUGACAUGCCACUAAAUAUUUUCCAUAUAUGUUUUUUCCAUAUAUGUUUUGAAUGGGUAUGUAGUAUUCCAUUGUGCAUUUAUUUAGCUAAAGUCCAACUGAAGAAUUAAAAUUGUGCCCAGGUUUUUGCUAUUGAAACAGCAAUGAAGUGUGAACCUUGUAGCUAAAUCUGAGCACAUUCUCCAUUAUUUAUACAGGUAAAUUUCCUGGAUGUGGUGUUUCUGGGUCUAGGGAUAAAGAUUGUUCUACAGUAACCUCUUAAGUUUGAUUCCCUCCGCACCAUCCCCUCCCCACUCCAGUGCUUUCCCAGACUUCCUGUACCAUUUAUUCACCAAGAAUUUACUGAACACCCAUCACAUACCAGACACGCCUUGAUACAGAGAUGAAUACUUCAUAGCACAAGGUGCCAUAAAUGUCAGAGAAAGCUUUGGGUAGUCAUAUGCUCAGUUUGAGGAGGGUCAUAAAAAACCAGUUGAAUUUUUUAAAAAUUCAAUUUAAUAUACAUAUUAUUAGUUUCAGAGGUACAAUUUAGUGAUACAUCAUUUGCAUGUAACACCCAGUGCUCAUUCCAUCAAGUAUCCUCCUCAAUGCCCUUCACCCACGUACCCCAUCCCCUUAGCCCCUCCCCUCCUGCAACCCUUAGUUUGCUUCUGUAGUUAAGAGUCUCUUAUGGUUUGUCUCC
rnacentral:lncRNA from 1 species